rnacentral:RNase_P_RNA from 3 species
CGAAGCAGACCAGGUGGUCGCCGCCCGCAAGGGGGGAGGAAAGUCCGGGCUCCACAGGGCAUGACGCUGGAUAACGUCCAGCGGGGGCAACCCCAGGGAAAGUGCCACAGAGAGAAGUCCGCCUGUCGGAAGCGUGCGAAGACAGGUAAGGGUGAAAGGGUGAGGUAAGAGCUCACCGGAUCCGGCGGUGACGUCGGAUGCCAGGUAAACCCCGUCAGGAGCAAGACCAAAUAGGGAAGCGUCAAGGACGGCCCGUCCGUGCUUCCGGGUUGGUUGCUUGAGGCCGUCGGUAACGACGGUCCUAGAUGAAUGGCCGCCGCCUGCUUCAGGGAAACCUGUUGCAGGAACAGAACCCGGCUUAUGGGCUGCUUCGGCCA